rnacentral:rRNA from 1 species
CACCAAAGAGUUAAGUCAUAUUUAAGUGGUAAAAAGACAGUUAGACAAAUUUUAAUAGUCUUUAAUGCCUUAUAAAGAAGUAAAAUUCAUAUAUAAAUGUAUAUUCUAAUAACAGCUAUAAAGUUGAAUCUGUGACAGCUCGGAGGGAAACUGGGAUUAGAUACCCCAUUAUUCCUAGCUAUAAAUUAAAAUUAGCUUUUACCAGAGUACUAUGAAUACUAUAAAAUUUAAAACUCAAAGGACUUGGCGGUAUUUUAGACCCUUUAGGGGAACCUGUCUCAUAAUCGAUAGUCCACGUUAUACCUAACCUUUUUUUGCUACCAGUUUGUAUAUCGUUGUCGUCAGGUAACUUUUUAGAAAUCAGAAGUUAGCUAAAAAUAGUAAGUUUAAACGUCAAAUCAAGGUGCAGCUGACAAAAAGGUGAAGAUGGGUUACAAUUAUUUAAAUUAUAAUUACAGAAAAUCAUAGGAAUUAAUGAUUAAUAAGGAGGACUUAAAAGUAAAUUAAAUUAUAUAAAUAACUUGAAUAAGGCUCUGAAAUGUGC